rnacentral:rRNA from 1 species
GGAAUAUUGGACAAUGGGGGCAACCCUGAUCCAGCCAUGCCGCGUGUGUGAAGAAGGCCUUUUGGUUGUAAAGCACUUUAAGCAGGGAGGAGAGGCUAAUGGUUAAUACCCAUUAGAUUAGACGUUACCUGCAGAAUAAGCACCGGCUAACUCUGUGCCAGCAGCCGCGGUAAUACAGAGGGUGCGAGCGUUAAUCGGAAUUACUGGGCGUAAAGCGAGUGUAGGUGGCUCAUUAAGUCACAUGUGAAAUCCCCGGGCUUAACCUGGGAACUGCAUGUGAUACUGGUGGUGCUAGAAUAUGUGAGAGGGAAGUAGAAUUCCAGGUGUAGCGGUGAAAUGCGUAGAGAUCUGGAGGAAUACCGAUGGCGAAGGCAGCUUCCUGGCAUAAUAUUGACACUGAGAUUCGAAAGCGUGGGUAGCAAAC